rnacentral:rRNA from 1 species
UACGUAGGGGGCAAGCGUUGUCCGGAAUCAUUGGGCGUAAAGCGCGUGUAGGCGGUUCGGUAAGUCGGCUGUGAAAGUCCAGGGCUCAACCCUGGGAUGCCGGUCGAUACUGUCGGGCUAGAGUGCGGAAGAGGCGAGUGGAAUUCCUGGUGUAGCGGUGAAAUGCGCAGAUAUCGGGAGGAACACCUAUGGCGAAGGCAGCUCGCUGGGACGUUACUGACGCUGAGACGCGAAAGCGUGGGGAGCAAACAGG